GCAUAUCAAUAAGCGGAGGAAAAGAAACCAACAGGGAUUGCCUCAGUAACGGCGAGUGAAGCGGCAAUAGCUCAAAUUUGAAAUCUGGCUCUUUCAGGGUCCGAGUUGUAAUUUGCAGAGGGCGCUUUGGCGUCGGCAGCGGCCUAAGUUCCUUGGAACAGGUCAUCAUAGAGGGUGAGAAUCCCGUAUGUGGCUGACUGUCUUCACCGUGUAAAGCCCCUUCGACGAGUCGAGUUGUUUGGGAAUGCAGCUCUAAAUGGGAGGUAAAUUUCUUCUAAAGCUAAAUAUUGGCCAGAGACCGAUAGCGCACAAGUAGAGUGAUCGAAAGAUGAAAAGCACUUUGGAAAGAGAGUCAAAAAGCACGUGAAAUUGUUGAAAGGGAAGCGCUUGCAGCCAGACGUGCCCGUAGUUGCUCAUCUGGGGUUCUCCCCAGUGCACUCUUCUAUGGGCAGGCCAGCAUCAGUCCGGGCGGUUGGAGAAAGACCUGUGUCAUGUAGCUGUUCUCGGGCAGUGUUAUAGGGCAGGUGGAAUGCAACCAGCCUGGACUGAGGUCCGCGCAUCUGCUAGGAUGCUGGCGUAAUGGCUGUAAGCGGCCCGUCUUGAAACACGGACCAAGGAGUCUAACAUCUAUGCGAGUGUUUGGGUGUAAAGCCCGAGCGCGUAAUGAAAGUGAACGGAGGUGGGAACCUUAGGGUGCACCAUCGACCGAUCCUGAUGUCUUCGGAUGGAUUUGAGUAAGAGCAUAGCUGUUGGGACCCGAAAGAUGGUGAACUAUGCCUGAAUAGGGUGAAGCCAGAGGAAAACUCUGGUGGAGGCUCGCAGCGGUUCUGACGUGCAAAUCGAUCGUCAAAUUUGGGCAUAGGGGCGAAAGACUAAUCGAACUAUCUAGUAGCUGGGUUCCUGCCGAAG
rnacentral:rRNA from 1 species